GCCCCCGUGUCGCUGACCAUAUCCCUCCGAAGGCAAAGGUCACACGUUCGAAUCGUGUCGGGUGCGCCA
rnacentral:tRNA from 1 species